UGGCCUUAGAGUUCUUUCAUGAGUUCACUG
rnacentral:piRNA from 1 species